AGCCAGCUUGAGCUAGCUACGAAGCUAGCAUACAAACUCAGUAGUACAGAGUAGAUCCUCCAUAUGACGUUGAGAAAUAGUGCAUUGUGGGUAGUUUAGAAGAUAUCCGGAAAUAAGUUAACAAAUAUAUAAUAACCCAAAAACAUAACUAUGUUUGUAGUAUAGGUAACCAGAUUGUGACUACAACUAAGUGUUUGACCACACUGUGUUGUUACAUUGCACAGAGGUAUAUUGUCCACUUUGAUGGUGCAGGAUAAUAUCAAAUACCCUCCUGGCUGCUGAGUUGAAAUGAAAGAAAAAUAGGCGGGGGUCUAUAAAAAUGAAGUUGGAAGGUGAGUGUGUGCUGAGACGAGGGAAGGCCCAACAGGAGAGGCAGAUCAGUCGUAACGGACAUGCAUGGACAUAUGAGGGAAAAACAAACCCUUCUUCUAAAAAGAGCAAUCAACUAGCCUAGCUAGUUUGUGUUUGUUUGUAAUCUCUCAUGAUGGUGAAUGAUACAGAGGAAAUGUGCUUUGAUGCUGGGGGCAGUUUGUAUCUUUUCGAUGCAGAGUUACCGAAUGAUUAUUCUCUCACUUGGGGAGAGCUUCAGUGGUUGAGGAGAGCGAUAUAGCAGUCUGAUGCUUUUUCUCUUGUUUUUAAGAGUACAAUUUAAAGAAAUGUGCAUUAAAGGCACAGUGCAGUCAAAACUAAGAUUUUUCUGUGUUUGAUAUAUAUUUCCACACUGAGCUUGGAAUAAUACUGUGAAAAUGUGAAAAUUAUGAUCAUGCUCUUUUAGUGUAAGAGCUACUUGAAAAGACCGCCUGAAAUGUCAGCCUGUUUUGGUGAUGUGGAAUUUUGGCCUUUCAUGUUGCCAUCAUCAAGCAGUAAAUUACUUAAUUAAUAGAUCAAUAAGAAAGACAGUUCCAAACCUCUCUGCCAAUAACAGCUAGUAUUAGUUUUCUCCUCCCCACGCAGACCACUCCCAGACAGUCUUAGCAAAAUUCUUGCUUUAGAAAUUGCUCUUUGCUAAGAAAACAAUCACAGCAAGGUACUUCAUUGUUACCCAGAAAUGAUUUGAUCUUGAGAAAAAAUGGUUCCAUUACAACUUUAAAGUAAGUAAAAGUAAA